AUCUGGUUGGUGAGUCCCUAAUAGGACUAAACGCGCGUCCUAGAU
rnacentral:hammerhead_ribozyme from 1 species